ensembl:lncRNA
GGGGGAGAUCAAGCCAUACUUGACUACAGAAUGUAGACUAGAUGUCCCCCAAAAGCCCCAUGUGGUCAUAGAUGGGACUUUUUGAAGGGGGCUGGAACUGGAGUCUGUAUGCUGGAAUCAAGGAUGUGAUGCUGGCAUCGAUUCAUGCUGCAAUGAUAGGAUUAAGGCUUCCUGCCCUGGUUGUGAAUGCUACGGGGGCCUAAAGAUGCUGCUUCCUUGUCUCUGGCCUCCAUUCAACUAGGAGCCUCUAGUCUUAACAGCUACAGCCAUAGAGAAGAAUGCUGAAGGCAAAGUAAAAAGCCCCAUGAAGGACAAAACUUGGACUCCGUGUAACAUUGGACUUAGAAAACCACUCCCCACCCAGACAUAGGAAUGUUAUAUUCCUCCUCUCACCAGCUCCACAGGAAGUCCUUUGUCAAAGCCCAGAGUACUUUUGCAUACUAGAAGAGAAAUAAACUGUAUAUCCAGAAUUCUAGCAGCAAGGGAAUCAGUAUAAGAAGUCAGUGAUGAACUUUGGACACUCUCCUGUCAUCUGCCCUUUAAGCACAAAGGAAAAUGGAAAUGGAGAAUACAAAAAGUGGAAAAUGCCUUUGGACUACAACGAUGUGAUAUAUAAGAAUGACUCCACUGGUCAUAUGGGAAAAAUAUGGACAUGGUAAAGGUUAGAGAGAUAUUUUGGUCUGUAGUUUGGGAGAGCACAGGUGAGGAUAGGUGGUUUUGCAGAUCCUCAUUGUCCCACUGAGCAAUUCGAAUUCCACCAUGACACAGUAUUAAGGCUUUGAAGGCAAAAAAUAAGAAUGCAGAUGCAUUGUGCAGAGUGUCUCGCUCUGGGCAUUAGCAAGCACAGUGGUUUGCAAUCUUGUGGUCUCUUUUGGCUUUAUGUAG